rnacentral:lncRNA from 1 species
CCAAAGAUAUGAAGUGGAACUCAUUUGCAGGCAAGGAGGGAACCAAGACCCCAACGGUGCGGAGCAGUUUCCCAUCGAGAGGACUAGGGCUGCCAUCAGGGACCUGUAGACCAAGCUCAACAUCUCCCUCGUGCCUCCAUCAACACCGUGUCCUGGAGGGUCGUUGCCGUCCGCGACGACGAGCUACUGCCGCAGCUUUGCCAGCCGCACGGUUAGAGGGAGGCAUCAAGGUCCUGCCACCGCUCCCGGGGCUGAUGUGCGUGUAAUUUCUAUUAAUGUAUCUUAUGUUGCCAAACAACAACAUGCUCCUGUCAAUGCUAUAUCAUUGUGGGCGUGGCAUUUCAGUUUCUUCCUCAGGUGAUAUUCCAAUAUACAAUAAGUUCCAUCAAGAAUUGCAUGUACAUGUGCUGCUAUCCUGAUCCAAAAAGGAAAGUAAAAAGGGCGUUCAUCUACCUGGCACCGCCCAGAUGCCCCUCAAGCGGCGCGCCACGGGUGCGCCCCAACUACUAGUGAAGGAUUGAAGUAUCACCAAAGAACUAGCUAUGGACAGGGGUGCGUGGAAGCUUGCUAUCCAUGUGCCCGAACUAAAGGCUUUGUUACAAAUCCAUCCUUUGUCGAAAAAGGUACAAUUAUUAUUGUCUACUCUCUAUUAUUUAAAAUUCUGAUGAUUAUCAACUUGGAUACACAAACAUUCACCGGGUGUGAUCCAAUAUAAAAACAGAGCCCAUCAAUUAGUAUUGUUUUUAUAAUCCAAUCCCGAACUCAUUUUGCAGUACAUGCCAACAAAUAAAACUUGAAUGAUAUGUGGUAGCUUCCUGUAUUCUCUUCUACUUCCAUUGUAAGCAAAUAUAAGAUGUUUUAGAUCUCUGGAAAUGGGGGACAACAUCAAAGGCAAAGAGGCUAUACAUGUUUGUCACCAUCUCAACAAUACAAAGUUUGUGUUACCGAGUUACUCUCUGGAUGAGUUUUUGGUUUGGCAUAGCUGCAUGCUAAGUUCUAUGUGUGUUUUGACUUGUAGGGUGUCUCUACAGUCGAUGCAAUUUAUGAACUCCUGAGUUAAGGCAACAUAAGUGACACAACCAGAAACCAAGAAGCAUGUUACUCCUGUCGAGCUGUGUCCAAUACUCAAAACACUUUACAAAACUUUAAUCAAGAUGUUGGAAUGCUCUUGGAUCGCCAUUUUUGCCUCUUGUAGUUACAGUUUUUCUUAUGUUAUAGUCUUGCUGCCUCUACAGGUGCCUGCAUUUUGUGUACUACUUACGCACUUGCAGGGAACUUGGUACCAGUUCAAUUCUCGAGGCGAUACAAGAUGAAUCAAUGUCCGAUCCACGGGAAAGAAUCGAGAUGGCACAACGCCAGUCCCUCUACCGACCUUCUCUCCUCGACCUGCCUAAUUGUGAUAUCAAGCUGUGGCUGUAGCCUUUAUUUAUGGAGAAAUGUUGCGAGUUUGCAGGGUUUGCUGAUCCUUCUGUCGGUGAACCCGCAAGUGCAUAUUUGUAGUGUAUGCUUAUAUGUGUACUGCUGAGUAUGAGAUGAGUUUUUUUAAUAGCAAGGUGAGAUAAACUUCUUAUCAUCCGAGUUGAUGUCCACCUGUAUAUACAACCCUUUAGUCAAUUGUAUUUUUUGUUUGCAUGGCAAGAGAGAUACCUGUAAUUCUUUUGAACUUUGUAAGUAGCUCAUUGUCACUGCUUUAGUUGAGCGGCUCAGUGUUGCUGUCUUUUACUUCUACUUAAGAAACAGAGGACGCCUGUACUUCUGUAUAUGUAAUGCUUUUAUGCAUGUGAUGACUUGUCGCAAAUUUUGCUAUCUUGAAGAGCGUGCCAGUUUGAGAUCCAUUUGUGCAUGGUCCCUCUUAUCUCCUCUUUUCACAUGAGAGGUAAGAGUAUAAAAUAGAUCUGAUCCGUUGAUCUCGUUAAUUAGUGGCUUGAUUAACUCUUACCUUCUUACCUCACAUAAAAAAGAGGGGGUAAGAGGGACCAUGUUAAAAUUUCCAAAAAAAUAUUCUUCCAAGCCCUGCUCUCAAAAGAAAAUGAAAACUGAACAAGUCCCCAAAGAACACCCGAACUGCUCGACAGGCCCACGAUAGAUGGCUUUGAGACAUUUCUGACCUCGGGUGAAAAUUAGUUUGAAACACUGCCAGAUGUCAAAAAGAAAAGUUUGAAACGCUGCCAUUUUACAGUGUCAUCUUCACAUAUCUCCAACGAGAGGAAGAUCAGAUGCUAGGGUCACCUUGUUCUUCUGUACUGGCUUGCAAAGAGUGAUGACACCACUUGGUUGACCUGCAGCAUGUAUUUGGUGCCAGGGCAACACGUGCAUGAUGUACUGCUCGACCGUCAGCGUGGAAAUGACCAGUGUGAUCUCGGCAUAUAGGAAGAUUUGAACAAAAAGUUGUAGUGCGUGUAACCGAUGAAUUCCACUAGCCAACGCUGGCACCAAAACCUUGUUGGAUCCGCUCGCGUGCCUGCUCUCAGCUUGGACUCAUGUUCCCGGUGCAUCCCAUGCCUAGCAACAGAUGACCAUCAUCCUCUUGGGCCACUUCUAUAUACAGUUAUACACCCAAUAGCAGCAAAGGACUGAUUCGACGUGUAUUUUAUAGGCCAGGUGUGUGUGUUGUAAGUUGUAGGUGUUUUUUGUUUCUAUACUCGUUGGGAGCGUGGUAUGUGCAAAGGAGUGAUUCGAUGCGUAUUUAUCGGCCGGGUAUGUUGUUCAUUUUACACCUCAACAACCACUUGUCCAAUUAUUUAACUCCGAGGGUACAACUAGAGAAAUUCUAAUAAACGAUAAUUCUUUAUAUAACUACAUGAUCUUGCGUGCAAUCUAGGUGUAGAUGUGCAAUCUAGGCCCAGGGCAACUCCUCCAUCCGCCACUGGUCCCUGAAUCUCCUCCCUCCCCCGCCACAUGAGGCUGACGCUGGGAAAAGCUCAUGGCGCAGCCAGGGACUAUGGCAGCGGGGCAGCGGCCCUCUGGUGACGCCACCCUUCAUGUGGCGAGGAGAGGCUGGCAGGUUGCAGGUCGUUGGAUCAGGGCGGCGUGUCGAUCAGCCAAGGCCGGGCAUGUUCCGUUAAAGUGUGUCCGGUCAAAGUUAAUCGAGCGUGUUGGGUAAAUUGGUGCAUCCUUGCAGGGAAGUAUAUGCAUUCGAAUAGUCGUGUCCAAGGUAACGGAUGCUCGGAGUUGUAUUCCGAUCUACUACAACUAGAACUGGAUACUUGUGAUACUAAACCGUUAUGAUGGCUCCGGGGUCACUUUCUCGCGGGAUAGUCGAGGAAGGAUCUCUGGGCGUUACUGUUACAUACUUGUUAUUAUUUGAUAUGUUACUUUACUCUCUUAUGUUGCUGCAAGAUGCUAGUCUUUGAUAGGCUAGGCAUUUCUCUUUAAUCUAGCAUUCUGCAGUAUAGUCCACAGAUACACCCCUUCCCCUUGAUACUGAUGCAUACAUAGCAUAUAUAUGAUGUAAAUCUUGUGAGUACUUUGAAUGAGUACUCACGGUUGCUUUGCUACCUUUUCCCCCUCUACCCGGUUGCUACGAUCAGAUGACGGAGCCCAGGAGACAGUUGAUCCCGUCGAUGACUACUACUACACCGACGGAGCCUACUACUACGUAAAGACCGACGAUCAGGAGUAGUUAGGAGGCUCCCAGGCAGGAGGCUUGCGCCUUUUCGAUCCAGAUGUCGUUGUUUUGCUCAGCCUUCUUAAGGCAAACUUGUUUACUUAUGUCAGUACUCAUAUAUUGUUGCUUUCGCUGACUUAUGUAUUCGAGCCUUCUUGGCCCAACCUGUAAUCUAAAGCUGCAUGAUUUUAAUUUGUGUCUUAGAAUUGUGUUGUAAUAUCUUCCCGUGAGUCUUCGAUCUUGAUCGUGCGCAAUUGCGUGUAUAAUUAGUGCAGGAUUGAGUCGGGGCAUCACAGAUACACAAACAUUCACCGGGUCUGAUCCAAUAUAAGAACAGAGCCCAUCAAUUAUUGUUUUUAUAAUCCAAUCCUGAACUCGUUUUGCGGUACAUGCCAACAAAUAAAAUUUGAAGAAUAUGUGGUAGCUUCCUGUAUUCUCUUCUACAUCCACUGUAAGCAAAUAUAAGAUGUUUAAGAUCUCUGGGAAUGGGGGACAACAUCAAAGGCAAAGAGACUAUACAUGUUUAUCACCAUCUUAACAAUACAAAGUUUGUGUUACUGAGUUACUUUCUGGAUGAGUUUUUGGUUUGGCAUAGCUGCAAGCUAAGUUCUAUGUGUGUUUUCACUUGUAGGGUGCAAUUUAUGAACUCAUGAGUUAAGGCAACAUAAGUGACACACCCGGAAACCAAGAAGCAUGUUACUCCUGUCGAGCUGUGUCCAAUACUCAAAAUACUUUAAAAAACUUUAAUCAAGAGGUUGGAAUGCUCUUGAAUCGCCAUUGUUGCCUCUUGUUUUUUUAGAAAAGGAGGAUGACCCCCGGCCUCUGCAUCUGGACGAUGCAUGCGACCACUUUAUUAAUUAUUCUCACAAGACCUUACAACGUCAUACAACAGCAACACUAAAGCCACCGUCUAAGCAACAACUGUCGCUACACCUAUCGAAUUGAUGAAGGAGCGCUGAUAGCCUGGGCCUAAUACCAAACAGACAUCGUAGCCAAACCUAAAAAUCUAAGACCUGAGGUCCCAACCAGGACGCUUGUCUGGUAUGGGGCACCUACCAGUCCAGCGCACUCCUCAACCAGGACGCCUGCCGGGUACAAGGCCGCUGCAUCCACCUGCCACGAGUCCAUCUUCAGAGCUGUACCGCUGCAUCUACCGUGCCAGUUCUCUUUGCCAUCGACGCCACCGCGACGCCAGACAGCGUCGUCCUCCUGCGCGAGUCCAUCCUCCCACAUCGAACUCCGAAUCUGCACUGCACCACGCCGUCAAGAUCCGUCGCCAUCAAUGUGUAGGAUGAAGCACCGCUCCACCAAAGAAGCCGUCCGCUGGUCCCGCGAAGCCGAGUGCACCUCGAAGAAUGCCGCCCCAAAGGGGGUUACGACACAUGAAUGCCGCCAACAUGAGAUCAGCUGAUCUAGGGUUUCCCCCGAAGGUAUUGAGUGGAGUUGGGAGCUUCACCUCGAUGAUGCCUUCAUGAAGGAAACGAUGAUACCGGCAUCGUCAUCACCGGCUCCGGCCAUCAACCGAAGACCAGGUUUUCACCCGGAUCCAUCCUAAGAAACCCGCCCAAUAACCUGUGCACCGUCUCGACCGCCUUCAAAGCCCCAGAUCCAGCCGCCUAGAUCCGGCGACCAACCGCAGCAACAGUGCCACCAUGGGAUCUCGUGGUUCUUUCCUCUGUUUCCAGCGUACCGGUUCGAUGAGAGUCACUUGGCGGUCGUAAAAAUUGCCAACUCUAGCUCCUUCGUUUUCUGAGAGUAGCGAAUACCCAGCUCCAUGACUCCGGCAAAUUUGCACGUAGCUAAUAGCCAGCUUCCCACUCUUGUAGCCACGAUUUGAAACGUUCGUCUUAGCUCCCGUCUUGGAGUCGAGGAGUUGAGAAUCCAGAGGGCUUCCGAACAUGCCCGAAGUGUCAUGGUACCGCCUGCUCAUCGCAUAUCUGCAACGAGCCGAGCAUCAUGUGCUACGAUCAGCUUCAUGGCUUCAUCUUCACUGGCUUGCCAAGAGGGAUGACGCAUUGGUUGAUCUGGUGUAUGGACUUGGUGUGAGAGCAUUGCGAGCCCGUUGGCGUGGAAGUGAUCAGUGUGAUCUCAGUGAAUAGGAGAACAUAGUUGUGAUGUGUUUAGCACAAGCAGUGAAAUACCCAAGACUCGUACGAGCUGCUUGUUGGAUCCGCUUGUGUACGUGCUCUCAUCUCGAACUCAUCUUCCCAAUGCAUCCCAUGCCCAACAGUGAUCAUCAUCCUAAUACGCCAAGCUAUAAGUGCUACCUCUGCAUACACCCAGUGCAGCAAUAGAAAAAAAUGGGGAAGCUAAAAUUUCAUCAUGUAGUUGCAAGUCUUUAGCUUUUAUACUCGUUGGGACCGUGUAGCUAGGUGCAAAGGAGUGAUUCGGCAAGUAUUUAUGGGUCGGGUGUCUUGUUGCUUUUACCAUACCAACAACCACGUGUCCUCUGACGCCUCUCCCGAUGCACGUGCUUAAAUGAGAUGCUAAGUACACAAAAUGACUUAGCAACUAAGCUCUCCAAUGUAUACAUGCUUAGCUUUUUGUAGCUAAGUUUUGUUCAUUUAAUUGUGUAGCAACUAAACUUCUUCAGGCAAAGGUGUCUUCAUUGUUUUUCCCGAUAAACUUCCAAUUUAUUCAUUCUCAAUCAUGAUAUUACAAAAGAAUACCAUAAGUAAAAAAAUUACUAUCUGGUCAGACCACCUAGCGAUGACUAUAAGCACCGGAGCGAGCCGAAGGCAUCACCCCUCCCUCGCCAGAGCCUGGCAAAUCUUAUUGUAGUAGACAAUCGACAAGUCAUCAUGCUAAGGCCCCAUAGGACCAGUGCACCAGAGCACCAAACAUGACCGAUGAAGAAAGUCGUAGAUUGGACGGAUUAAACAUGUAGACACCGAAAGAAGACCGGAUCAAAACAGAUCCACCAAGAUCAGCACUGACCGAAUCUCACGAGAUCCAACGGAGGCACACCUCUAUACAUCCUCCGACGAAGCUAGACGUACCAUCGGGACGGGGAUAGAACGCGGGAGACAUUAUUCCUACUAAGAGACACCACUGCCACCACAUAGCCCCAACCAAGAUGUUGAACCUAACAAUAACGAGAACGGGAUCCCUCCCGCUGACGGGGGGCCCGACGUCCUCCGCAUCUCCAUGGCCCAAAGGUAUGAGGCAGAUCGGCGGCGGCGCCGACGGGAGGAGGAGGAAAGCCUGAGAUCUUUUCUUGUGGGGGAGGGAAGAGAAGGCGUUGUGCGUCGGUUCUGAUUCGCUGGUUUGUUUAUUCCAAGGUGUCUUUCAUUGGUCCACGUGCCUGACAUUGUUUCUUCAUGAGGUCAUAAAAGUUCUCUCUUCUUAUUAGUUACUUUGUCAUGUCAGUUUCUCUUCUUCUUAUGUGACAUGCUUAUCUCCGUAUACCAUGAAACACUGAGAAUGGUUUGAGGGUCUCAGAGCUAGCAAUUUUAAUGGAAGGAAAUUCUUUGUAUGACUAUAUGAUGUCGCAUGUAAUCUAGGUGUAGUUAUAAAUAUGAUUAACAGUGGACAUGAUGUUCACAUGUAGAUAUACACAAUUAUAAUGUUAUGAAGGUCUAUAGGUUAUGAUUUGUUAAACACAACUAUGAAGAUCUACCUGUUAUCAUCUUACUGCAUAAAAUGAUUAUUAUCAAGUAUCUAAUUAGCUGAAAUUCUGAUAUUUUGUUGAGUUAGAUACACAAAGAUUAAUUUAGUGUGGUGUAAAAUAAAAGGAGGGUUCACCAAUUAUUGUCCGGAUGCUAUAAUCCUAUCAUGAACUCGUUUAGCUUCGCCAUUGCUUUCCCUCGGUAUAAAUUAUCUUACCAAGGAGGUCGAUUUAAUUUGCAUCAUUACACAUACUUGUGAAGCUCCAAUCAAAUAAGAAGAAUUGAUGGGAACAACUUUGGCACUUGAUUCUAUUGUGUAUAGUGUAGUGUGGUGUUUUUGAUGAUAUUACCACCUCAACAACCGCUUGUCCAGUUACUUAACUCUUGAGGGUACAACUAGUAUCAGGGUAACAAUUUUAAUGAAAUAUAAUUCUUCAUAAAAUUAUGAUUUACAAUGUAUAUGAUGUUUGAGUAUAGAUAUAUAAAUUUGAAUGUUAUGAAGGUAUAUCAAUUAUGAUAUAUCAAACGUGACUAUAAAGAUCUAUUGAUUAUGGAAGCUAAUGCAUGCACGCCUAAUAACACUGCAAUUCCCUUUCAAAAUAAUAGGAUCACGCUCCUGUGUCGCUCGUCAGCAACACAUGGGCGUCCCAAGGCGUAGCCGCCAGUCACCCAUAGUCCGCCACUCCUCCACGUCGCUGCUGCCAGUGAGCACAGUGGCUGCAGCCCCUACUCCCCUCGUUCAUAUAGAAACACAUGCCACUCGGGUGCACAUGACAUCAGGAGUUGUAACAACGGCUUACCCACACCAAGGCCUUAGCGACGGCCACUGUGCGACAUAGGAGUGACCGAGUGAGGGUUGUCUGCGGCAGUCGGGCCGGGUUGGAUUAGCGAUUCCUUGCCUCGUCUUGAGUCUUGCUGCCAUGGCCGGCACCAAUCUGGAGUCUUCGAUCUGGCAUGGCGGCAUCACCUCGUGCUUCCUCAGGUGGUUGGCUGACGACCUUGCUCUCCCCAAUGGUGGUGUGGAGGCGGACCUUCUUGGAGGGUUGGUUUUUCCUAGAGGCGCUACUGGUCCAGCGCAUGGCCGUGCAACAUUUAAGGAGUGUCUUCUUCCCGGCUUUAGGCGCCCUCAUAGCCAAGCUUUACCGUUGACGAAGCUCCAUCAGGUAGUCACCAAAACUUGAAUGUGUGGUAGCUUCCUGUAUUCUCUUCUACUUCCACUGUAAGCAAAUAUAAGAUGUUUUAGAUCUCUGGAAAUGGGGGACAACAUCAAAGGCAAAGAGACUAUACAUGUUUGUCACCAUGACACCAUCUCAACAAUACAAAGUUUGUGUUGCCGAGUUACUCUCUGUAUGAGUUUUUGGUUUGGCAUAGCUGCAUGCUAAGUUCUAUGUGUGGUUUCACUUGUAGGGUGUCUCUACAGUCGAUGCAAUUUAUGAACUCCUGAGUUAAGGCAACAUAAGUGGCACACCCAGAAACCAAAGAAGCAUAUUACUCCUGUCGAGCUGUGUCCAAUACUCAAAACACUUUACAAAACUUUAAUCAAGAGGUUGGAAUGCUCUUGGAUCUCCAUUGUUGCCUCUUGUAGUUAGUCUUGCUGCCUCUAUAGGUGCCUGCAUUUUGUGUACUACUUACGCAUUUGUAGGAAACUUGGUACCAGUUCAAUUCUUGAGGCGAUACGAGAUGAAUCAAUGUCCGAUCCACGGGAAAGAAUCGAGAUGGCACAAUGCCAGUCCCUCUACCGACCUCCUCUCCUUGGCCUGCCUAAAUGGGAUAUCAAGCUGUAGCUGCAACCUUUAUUUAUGGAGAAAUGUUGCGAGUUUGCAGGGUUUGCUGAUCC